rnacentral:lncRNA from 1 species
CCCCCCCCACGGAUCCGCCUAUGAGUUCAAAACGCUAUGAAUUCGAAUCACUAUGUCUCGCUUGUUUAAAAAUAUCAAGGAGAAUGUUUAUAAUAAACAUAAUCCAACUCACAUAAUCCGAUUUCCCGGGUGUCCCUGUUUUCUCAUUUCUUACAAUAUUUUAAUUCGGUAUACACUUUAUAAGAUAAGUGGCGAAUCUGGAAGACGUAUAGGUUGCACGCCCCCGACCCCACCUUUGGUUGCCAAGCUAUAUUGAUUCAUGUAUUUAACGAUUUUGUAAAGCAAAAAAUAAUCAAAAUAUUGUUCAACUCGGCGGUAUGUAAAAGCUGUUCGAAUAACGUCCACUUUGAAAUAAACUGAAUCCGUCUGUCCGUAUAUAUUGUCAAAAUAUAUUGAC